rnacentral:rRNA from 1 species
AACGAACGCUGGCGGCAUGCCUAAUACAUGCAAGUCGAACGAGACCUUCGGGUCUAGUGGCGCACGGGUGCGUAACGCGUGGGAAUCUGCCCUUGGGUUCGGAAUAACUUCGGGAAACUGAAGCUAAUACCGGAUGAUGACGAAAGUCCAAAGAUUUAUCGCCCAGGGAUGAGCCCGCGUAGGAUUAGCUAGUUGGUGGGGUAAAGGCUCACCAAGGCAACGAUCCUUAGCUGGUCUGAGAGGAUGAUCAGCCACACUUGGGACUGAGACACGGCCCAGACUCCUACGGGAGGCAGCAGUAGGGAAUAUUGGACAAUGGGCGAAAGCCUGAUCCAGCAAUGCCGCGUGAGUGAUGAAGGCCUUAGGGUUGUAAAGCUCUUUUACCCGAGAUGAUAAUGACAGUAUCGGGAGAAUAAGCUCCGGCUAACUCCGUG